rnacentral:tRNA from 1 species
GCGGGAAUAGCUCAGUUGGUAGAGCACGACCUUGCCAAGGUCGGGGUCGCGAGUUCGAGUCUUCGUUUCCCGCUCCA